rnacentral:rRNA from 1 species
UGGGGAAUAUUGGACAAUGGGCGAAAGCCUGAUCCAGCAAUGCCGCGUGUGUGAAGAAGGCCUUCGGGUUGUAAAGCACUUUAGUUGGGGAGGAGAAGCUGACAGUGAAUAGCUGUCAGAAGAGACGUUACCCAAAGAAUAAGCACCGGCUAACUCUGUGCCAGCAGCCGCGGUAAUACAGAGGGUGCGAGCGUUAAUCGGAGUGACUGGGCGUAAAGCGUGCGUAGGUGGUUUGUCGAGUUAGAUGUGAAAGGCCUGGGCUUAACCCGGGACAUGCGUUUAAGACAGACAGACUAGAGUGUUGCAGAGGAGAGUGGAAUUUUCGGUGUAGCGGUGAAAUGCGUAGAUAUCGGAAGGAACACCCGUGGUGAAGACGGCUCUCUGGGCAGAGACUGACACUGAGGCACGAAAGCGUGGGGAGCAAACAGG